UACGUAGGGUGCGAGCGUUGUCCGGAAUUAUUGGGCGUAAAGAGCUCGUAGGCGGCUUGUCGCGUCGGAUGUGAAAGCCCGGGGCUUAACUCCGGGUCUGCAUUCGAUACGGGCAGGCUAGAGUUCGGUAGGGGAGACUGGAAUUCCUGGUGUAGCGGUGAAAUGCGCAGAUAUCAGGAGGAACACCGAUGGCGAAGGCAGGUCUCUGGGCCGAUGACUGACGCUGAGGAGCGAAAGCGUGGGGAGCGAACAGG
rnacentral:rRNA from 1 species